rnacentral:tRNA from 1 species
GAGGGUAUAGCUCAACUCAAGUGGUAGAGCACAUGCUUAGUAUGCUUGAGGUCCUGGGUUCAAUCCCCAGUACUUCCU